UUUGAGAUACCCAUGUGCUUUUGUAUUACAGGUUUCCUGUGUUUUUUCCAGGUUGAAGCUUUAGUGAUGAAAAGGCAACACAGUAUAGUAUUCCAGGCUGGCAAGACACCUCUUGAAUGGAAAGCCUGCAUCUCUUGGUGUCAGAUGCUGUACAGAAGAUUGCUUAAGCUGAGCUAUCUGGGAAGUUACCCUCACAAUUUCCUGAGAGAAAUAACGUGGUUUCAGUAAAAGUUUAGGACAAAGCCAAAUGGAGUUUCAAAUGGGAUUAAACAGCGAUUCUUCAGCUGUCACCCAUGGCCCACCUUAAGGUCUGGUAAAGCAAGCUGGGUAGUACAGAUACACAGGCCCUAGAGACAGUUGAAGGCUGAGCCAAAAUAUUUUGCCAGGACUGCAAUAGAAAUGGCCAGGCAUUUCAGCUGGGAACAGGCUUGAUCUGCUAUCCUAAACAGAGAGGACCCAUGGUUUUCCUGCAUGGUUGAUGGAAAGCAAAAUCUGCAUGGCAUCCCUGGCAGGGCUGGGGGGAGCCACAGCAGCAGUCAGAAGAGGGAAACCCAGAUUUCUCCACUGACUCCAAAACCAGAGCUAAUUGCAGGAAAGGGCAAGGUGUGAAUGGAAAGCAUGCUGUGCUGCUGCACCCCAGCAAGCCCUGACAUGCUGGGGUGGGCAAGGCUCCUAGACAGGAGCCCAGCAUCACCCUCAGGUCUGCUGCUCAGUGGAGCACUCACAGCUCCCUGGUGACCGGCUGGGAGAGGCUCAAGGAACUCUGAUUCGGCAGCCUUCCCAUGCUUCAUCAGGCAAAGUCUGUGUCUUGGGAAUGGCUGUUGUGCGGAGUUAUUGCAGGGCUUAGGAGUGUUUGCUGUGGCUUGUGCUCCCUGCUGUGCCUGCUGCUGUCAACGAUGAAU